UGCAUGGGGACGAGGAUCAAGGCAU
rnacentral:piRNA from 1 species